GCAUUUACCGGACUUAACCCCAACUGGUAAUUUCUUGUUUCUUUCACUGAGCAACAAUCCAUUUGAUGAUGGAGGUUUUGAAAACGACACCUAUCUCAAAGCUCACUUGAGCAACCUUUUUUGCCAAACAAGUUCACAAAGAGUUUACAAGGCAUCUUUGCGUAAAUGUUAACUAAGUCACGAAAAAUAAAACCUGUAAACAAUUUCUGUCUAUGUUUACUUGUUCAAGUGUCAGUGAAACGAGCGAUAUAAAAGAAGAAGCAUUCAAACUGUUUGCAAAACUUUUGGUUUGGAUACAAAAGACCAACUAAAAAUGAUACUGGAAAGACUGUUUACCGUUUGACUCCUGUCACAAUCUAACCUAGUGGGUUCAAAAGAAAAGGACCGCGCUGGAAACAUAAGGAGGUUAAAAGGAUCAGCCCUUUUUGAAUUAAUAGUCGAAGUCGUAACCAGCCAGAAGUCGUAACCAGCUCGUAUGGAUUUCUCGACGUGAAAUAGUUAAUUUUGUUCAACAAUGCCAAGAAACAGAGCUCGCUCAAGAAACAAAAAAGAAAGAGAAAGAUGAAAAAAUAUUCUGUUGAACAAUACUGUAGUUUUAUUUAUAAAUUAUUCUCCUAUAUUUAAACAUACAAAAGAUGCAGAAAAUGCUUCUUCUUUUAUAUUGA